UACGAAGGGGGCAAGCGUUGUUCGGAUUUACUGGGCGUAAAGGGCGCGCAGGCGGCUCUUCAAGUCAGAUGUGAAAGCCCCGGGCUCAACCUGGGAACUGCAUUUGAGACUGAAGAACUCGAGUUCGGGAGAGGAUGGCGGAAUUCCCAGUGUAGAGGUGAAAUUCGUAGAUAUUGGGAAGAACACCGGUGGCGAAGGCGGCCAUCUGGACCGAGACUGACGCUGAGGCGCGAAAGCUAGGGGAGCAAACGGG
rnacentral:rRNA from 1 species